UCCUGGGUGGCUCAGACAGUAAAGAAUCCGCCUGCAGUGCGGAAGACCCGGGUUCAAUCCCUGGGUCAGGAA
rnacentral:tRNA from 1 species